rfam:Triticum aestivum genome assembly, contig: Triticum_aestivum_CS42_TGACv1_scaffold_129833_2BL
CUGUUUGAUUUGCGCUUAGUGUUAACAUGGACAAAUAAUAUGGUUGAUGGAAUUUAGGUGAUCAUCAUGCGAGCCAUGGAUGCUCAUACAUGACCAUCACACAUAC